CUACGGGGGGCAGCAGCAAGGAAUUUUGUGCAAUGGGCGAAAGCCUGACACAGCGACGCCGCGUGGGGGAUGAAGGCCUUCGGGUUGUAAACCCCUUUUCUCAGAGAAGAACAAUGACGGUACCUGAGGAAUAAGUCACGGCUAACUACGUGCCAGCAGCCGCGGUAAUACGUAGGUGGCUAGCGUUAUUCGGAUUUACUGGGCGUAAAGAGGGCGCAGGCGGCUUUUCAAGUCGGAUGUAAAAUCUCCUGGCUCAACUGGGAGGGAGCAUCCGAAACUGUUAGGCUAGAGGGCAGCAGAGGGAGGUGGAAUUCCCGGUGUAGUGGUGAAAUGCGUAGAUAUCGGGAGGAACACCAGUGGCGAAGGCGGCCUUCCAGGCUGUUACUGACGCUUAGGCCCGAAGGCGUGGGGAGCAAACAGGAUUAGAUACCCCGGUAGUC
rnacentral:rRNA from 1 species